rnacentral:rRNA from 1 species
UACAGAGGGGGCAAGCGUUAUUCGGAAUUAUUGGGCGUAAAGGGCGCGUAGGCGGCUUUGCAAGUGACGGGUGAAAUCCCUCGGCUUAACCGAGGAACUGCCUGUCAAACUGCAUGGCUUGAGACCGGGAGAGGUGAGUGGAAUUCCCAGUGUAGCGGUGAAAUGCGUAGAUAUUGGGAGGAACACCAGUGGCGAAGGCGACUCACUGGCCCGAUACUGACGCUGAGGCGCGAAAGCGUGGGGAGCAAACAGG